AAACUUAAUACAAUUCAUAACGUUAAGAUUGAAGAAAGAUUUAGCAUGGACUUCUCGGCAAGAAAAGGUUUUGAUCCUUUUCAUGGCAUGCGGCCUGUCAUUUCUGUGAAUGACUUUUCAAAUAUGGAAUUUCCAAUCGUUCAAGCCUUUUCAAAAGAUAAUCUUGAGUUUGUUGACAAAAAAUCAUUUACUUUUACUAUGGAACGACCUCUUAAACUACAGAACGACAGUAUUCACCAUAUCCCAAAG
rnacentral:lncRNA from 1 species